rnacentral:rRNA from 1 species
CCUACGGGAGGCAGCAGUGGGGAAUUUUGGACAAUGGGCGCAAGCCUGAUCCAGCCAUGCCGCGUGUGGGAAGAAGGCCUUCGGGUUGUAAACCACUUUUGUCAGGGAAGAAACGGCUCUUACUAAUAUUAGGGGCUAAUGACGGUACCUGAAGAAUAAGCACCGGCUAACUACGUGCCAGCAGCCGCGGUAAUACGUAGGGUGCAAGCGUUAAUCGGAAUUACUGGGCGUAAAGCGUGCGCAGGCGGCUUUGCAAGACAGAUGUGAAAUCCCCGGGCUCAACCUGGGAACUGCAUUUGUGACUGCAUGGCUAGAGUACGGUAGAGGGGGAUGGAAUUCCGCGUGUAGCAGUGAAAUGCGUAGAUAUGCGGAGGAACACCGAUGGCGAAGGCAAUCCCCUGGACCUGUACUGACGCUCAUGCACGAAAGCGUGGGGAGCAAACAGGAUUAGAUACCCUGGUAGUCCACGCCCUAAACGAUGUCAACUGGUUGUUGGACGGCUUGCUGUUCAGUAACGAAGCUAACGCGUGAAGUUGACCGCCUGGGGAGUACGGCCGCAAGGUUGAAACGUCAAAGGAAUUGACGG